GCAAGCCGAGCGGUAUUGUUUCUUCGGAAAUGAGAGAGCGGCGUACGGGUGCGGAACACGUGUGCAACCUGCCUUUAUCUGGGGGAUAGCCUUUCGAAAGGAAGAUUAAUACUCCAUAAUAUAUUGAACGGCAUCGUUUAAUAUUGAAAGCUCCGGCGGAUAGAGAUGGGCACGCGCAAGAUUAGCUAGUUGGUGAGGUAACGGCUCACCAAGGCGAUGAUCUUUAGGGGGCCUGAGAGGGUGAUCCCCCACACUGGUACUGAGACACGGACCAGACUCCUACGGGAGGCAGCAGUGAGGAAUAUUGGUCAAUGGGUGCAAGCCUGAACCAGCCAUCCCGCGUGAAGGACGACUGCCCUAUGGGUUGUAAACUUCUUUUGUAUAGGGAUAAACCUACCCUCGUGAGGGUAGCUGAAGGUACUAUACGAAUAAGCACCGGCUAACUCCGUGCCAGCAGCCGCGGUAAUACGGAGGGUGCAAGCGUUAUCCGGAUUUAUUGGAUUUAAAGGGUCCGUAGGCGGACUUAUAAGUCAGUGGUGAAAGCCUGUCGCUUAACGAUAGAACUGCCAUUGAUACUGUGAGUCUUGAGUAUAUUUGAGGUAGCUGGAAUAAGUA
rnacentral:rRNA from 1 species